ensembl:ncRNA T24A11.8 ncRNA
CAGACAGGUCAAAGCCCAUGGGGCGGGACACCCCCCAGCCGGGUGGCGCGCGCCUUUCUCUCUCUCAAAGUGUCGGUCACUCGUCUCUCUAUUUCUCUCUCUCUCUAUGCUUUUCCUUCU